GAUGAACGCUAGCGGGAGGCCUAACACAUGCAAGCCGAGCGGUAUAGAAUCUUCGGAUUUUAGAGAGCGGCGUACGGGUGCGGAACACGUGUGCAACCUACCUUUAUCUGGAGGAUAGCCUUUCGAAAGGAAGAUUAAUACUCCAUAAUAUAUUGAUUGGCAUCAAUUAAUAUUGAAAGCUCCGGCGGAUAGAGAUGGGCACGCGCAAGAUUAGUUAGUUGGUGAGGUAACGGCUCACCAAGACGAUGAUCUUUAGGGGGCCUGAGAGGGUGAUCCCCCACACUGGUACUGAGACACGGACCAGACUCCUACGGGAGGCAGCAGUGAGGAAUAUUGGACAAUGGGUGCAAGCCUGAUCCAGCCAUCCCGCGUGAAGGACGACUGCCCUAUGGGUUGUAAACUUCUUUUGUAUAGGGAUAAACCUCUCCUCGUGAGGAGAGCUGAAGGUACUAUACGAAUAAGCACCGGCUAAACUCCGUGCCAGCAGCCGCGGUAAU
rnacentral:rRNA from 1 species